rnacentral:lncRNA from 1 species
GUGUGUUUACAGGCAGUUGCAACAGCGCGACUUUAGAUCAGUAGAACGCAUUCGCAAAAAGCCACAAAAUACACCUGAAUGGAUUUCUGCAAAUAUGUAAAUACCACAGGAGUCCUCUUACUUUUGGGAACUUUACAGUCCUAUUGAUUAAACAAGCAUGAACAGGUAGGCUCUCUCUCCUUCAGUUGCCUAUGCACAACAACAACAGCAAGAUCAACAACUAAUGUUAGCCAGAGCGAGAUGAGCUAAAAUCUAACGAGGGAACAGUAGAUAAACCCUCUCAAACUUUUUUCAGCUUGUUGUUGGCCGUCAAAACUACUCUGAUAAACAAUGUGUAGUACUGUAAGCUAACGCACUUCUGUACAUUGUGCUGUAACGUACAAUUGACCUUAUUUUAGCGCCCAAAAAACGUAAUCUUUCCAUGUCAACUGUAAUAUGAAUACCAUUGUAUUCAAGCAUGUAUAUGCACAAUUUUUCCCCUUUCCAGCAAAAUCAAUGACGAGACCUUCAUGCUGCCUGUCUGCAUGAUUGAAGAAGGCAAUAAGCUCCGUCGGGUCUUUUUAAAACUGACGGGUGGGGAAGUGAAACCUACUGCGUGAUAGCGAAAGGGGGAGAUAAGGCGUGUGGGGAAAAGGCUUUUUUCACCCGAUCUGUCACUUAUCACUUCUAAAAUUUGGUGGAGAGAGGCUGUUCAACACAGAAUGAGUUGCUUUAUACGUGCUAUAUGUCACAAUUUAACGUACAGCGUCGGAGGGCCAGCAUCAGGGGAGGCUUAGCAGAUGCUUUCAGCCUGUUCCUUGCCAUCAUUAUCACCUGCGUCAGGACAAGCAACGAAGACAAAACAACUUUACAAGCUCAAUCCAGGUGUGCUGUCAAGGCCCAUAAAGGUUGAUUUGUGACAUUGUGUCACAACUUGACCUUGUCAUGUUUUAUAGAUUGAUGAUAUUUGAACCUAUAAACUACACAUGACAAGUGUCAGAAAGUGAUCCCAUUGAAGUACACAGUUUGGUAUUUAUACUGUAUACACCUAGGCUACCCAAAAGUUGAAAUUAAUAGAAAACCUCUCAUCCAGUAAAAUGGAUUGAUUCAUUAACUGAUUGGGUUUAAAUUGAGCUUUUCCUGAUGCUCAGGGGGUGGGAUGGGGAGUAAUCAAAAACACACUUUACGUAAAGCUUUGAGAAUAUCAUUGUUGAGUGUAAGCAGGCAGGUAGCAUCAGGAAUACGUAUUAUUCCAUCCAAGUCAUAUUUACGGAUGAUGACAUUUAGUAUGCUGAAUUAUGGACGAUUCAAUGGUUUAGCUGUGCUGUGAGACACAAUGGAGUCAUGUGGUGGCUUGUUUGUUACUUGACCAAUGUAUUUCUACUAGUAUUAUAACUAAAGUUCUGUCACAUUGACUAACUCUGAUAUUGAAUCAACCACACAAAGAUUAUCAGCAGGGUUUCUCUGCUAUUUAAGUCACUUCUAUUUGAAUCAUAUUAAUCCAGCUAUUUUUGACGUGAGUUCACCCACGGAUAUUUCUGGGAAUCAGCGAUUGAGUGACGUCUGUGACAACACCUCCUUCAAAACCAGGGCUGGGAGAUUCACAGGAUGUUCAGUUUAAAUUAUAGCAAUGCCUUCUCUGUGAAAUGAUUUGACUUCUGAGCAAAAUGAGCAUGUCGUCCAGCUUCUCACUGUUGCUCAGCAAAGACAACAUUUGUCCUAUUUUCAAAAGAGCUUUUUCUGUUUCCCAAAAAUUGCUGUAGCCUAUAUCUGUGAAUGGCUCCCCCUGAGCAGGAAUUAACUUUUAUCUUGCAGAGUAUUUUGUUAAAGUUCUCAAGGGAAAAAAAUGACCUACUGUAACGGCUGUCUACGGAAGAAGUGGACCAAAAUGCGGCGGAGUUAGGGUUCGUCAUUUUUAAUGUCACGAACACUAUGCAAUUCACAAAAACAACAAAACUGACAGCCAACACAGUCCUGUCAGGUGCAACAACUGUGACAAGAACAAUUACCCACACCACACAACGGAAACGUAGGCAACUUAUGUGUGACUCCCAAUCAACCACAACCCUCUACAGCUGUGCUUGAUUGGAAGUCACACGGCCAAAAUUAAAUGAAACAAUAAAACACUCACUCCCUUCUGCCACGUCCUGACCCAACUACACCCUCUACUGGUCAGGACGUGACAGUACCCCCCCCUCAAGGUGCAGACCCCGGGAUGCACCUAAAAAAAGGAAAACACACAACAACAAAAAAAUCCCCAACAAAAAGGAACACCUA